UACAGAGGUCCCAAGCGUUGUUCGGAUUUACUGGGCGUAAAGGGAGCGUAGGUGGUGGGGUAAGCCCCGCGGGAAAGCUCCAGGCUUAACCUGGAAAGGUCGCGGGGGACUGCUCCGCUCGAGGACGGGAGAGGAGCGCGGAAUUCCCGGUGUAGCGGUGAAAUGCGUAGAGAUCGGGAGGAAGGCCGGUGGCGAAGGCGGCGCUCUGGAACGGCCCUGACACUGAGGCUCGAAAGCGUGGGGAGCAAACAGG
rnacentral:rRNA from 1 species